rnacentral:rRNA from 1 species
GCGGCGGACGGGUGAGUAACACGUGGGCAACCUGCCCUGCAGACUGGGAUAACUUCGGGAAACCGGAGCUAAUACCGGAUAACACCGAAAACCGCAUGGUUUUGGGUUGAAAGGCGGCUUUUAGCUGUCACUGCAGGAUGGGCCCGCGGCGCAUUAGCUAGUUGGUGAGGUAACGGCUCACCAAGGCGACGAUGCGUAGCCGACCUGAGAGGGUGACCGGCCACACUGGGACUGAGACACGGCCCAGACUCCUACGGGAGGCAGCAGUAGGGAAUCUUCCGCAAUGGACGAAAGUCUGACGGAGCAACGCCGCGUGAGCGAAGAAGGUCUUCGGAUCGUAAAGCUCUGUUGUCAGGGAAGAACAAGUACCGUUCGAACAGGGCGGUACCUUGACGGUACCUGACAAGGAACCCACGGCUAACUACUUGCCACCACCCGCGGUAAUAC